rnacentral:rRNA from 1 species
UACGUAGGGUGCGAGCGUUGUCCGGAAUUAUUGGGCGUAAAGGGCUCGUAGGCGGUUUGUCGCGUCGGGAGUGAAAACUCAGGGCUUAACCCUGAGCCUGCUUCCGAUACGGGCAGACUAGAGGUAUGCAGGGGAGAACGGAAUUCCUGGUGUAGCGGUGAAAUGCGCAGAUAUCAGGGGGAACACCGGUGGCGAAGGCGGUUCUAGCUGGGCAUUACCUGACGCUGAGGAGCGAAAGUGUGGGGAGCGAACAGG